rnacentral:sRNA from 1 species
GAGCCCAAUAAUGGUUCAAAAGGCAAUUGAGCUUCAGGACGAGCUCCGCGGAGUCGACUGGCUUACAGCGCAAGAUGUUUGGCAGCCACCCUCAUUUAAAGAUGUUCAAAUGGAGUUCGACGACAAUUUCGAGUAUUUCGACUCGUUUUCCAUACUUAUUUGGAGUGCGGUGGUGGAUUUAAUCAAUAAAAACUACCUGAAAUUUGGCCGAAAAAUGACUGAAAAUGAGGAAAUCGCGUUUGAAGCGGAGGCGUUGAAAAUGCUCCAAACCGAGCACGGACCCGAAUCGAGAAAAUCGGAAUGGUGCACCGAUGUGAAAAUGAGCAAGAAACUUGAAGGAAUGAUGCCAAUGGAGUUGGAUUAUCGAUAUGAUGUACGCCGAGGUCUACCGGACGCCGAAAAACAAAAAUAUCAAUGGCAACAAGUGCAGAUGACAGUUAUCGCCGCACGUUAUGCGAAUAAGAAUUUG